GGCCAGACUCCUACGGGAGGCAGCAGUGGGGGAUAUUGCACAAUGGGGGGAACCCUGAUGCAGCGACGCCGCGUGGGUGAAGAAGUAUUUCGGUAUGUAAAGCCCUAUCGGCAGGGAAGAAAUUGGACGGUACCUGACUAAGAAGCCCCGGCUAACUACGUGCCAGCAGCCGCGGUAAUACGUAGGGGGCAAGCGUUAUCCGGAUUCACUGGGUGUAAAGGGAGCGUAGACGGCCAUGCAAGCCUGGAGUGAAAGCCCGGGGCCCAACCCCGGGACUGCUCUGGGAACUGUGCGGCUGGAGUGCGGGAGGGGCAGGCGGAAUUCCUGGUGUAGCGGUGAAAUGCGUAGAUAUCAGGAGGAACACCGGCGGCGAAGGCGGCCUGCUGGACCGCGACUGACGUUGAGGCUCGAAAGCGUGGGGAGCAAACAGGAUUAGAUACCCUGGUAAC
rnacentral:rRNA from 1 species